GAGGAAGAAGAUGGUGAGAAUGUGGAUGCAGGAUGCUUCUGCCGCUUCCCACCACCAUUCAUCUCGAUGGAGCCUGCAGAACUCCAAAAUCCCAUGGUAGACCUGACUCCAUCAGUCAUGGUAGCAGACCACUAGCAGUUUGACCUGUUGGUUCAGUAGGUCUAGGUACUCACCACCACCGUCCAGCAGCUCUAGUAGACGAUAGAGGG
rnacentral:lncRNA from 1 species